CUUGGGCCCGCCUGCUGGCUCUGGGACUUCUUACGACGCAGUGGGCAGGCCGGGUUUUUCCUGCCCGAGUGGCGGUGCGGACAGUGCAGCCAAUGCCUGCCUUGUUUACUCCAUGUGCCGCCAGGUCUGCAAUGCUGUGAGAGGAGGAAAUUCGCAGGUGCUGGCAGAUGUUCAAGCCCUGGUGGAUGAGAGCACCUACACCCCUCAAGACCCCCAGGAGCUCUGUGGAUGCACACUCACUACGUGCUCCAUGGCCAGUGAGAACUCCUCCCAGGAGACUCGAAGCAGGGCCACUGAGCUGGCUGGGCAG